UGGGGAAUAUUGGACAAUGGGCGCAAGCCUGAUCCAGCCAUGCCGCGUGAGUGAUGAAGGCCCUAGGGUUGUAAAGCUCUUUCACCGGUGAAGAUAAUGACGGUAACCGGAGAAGAAGCCCCGGCUAACUUCGUGCCAGCAGCCGUGGUAAUACGAAGGGGGCUAGCGUUGUUCGGAUUUACUGGGCGUAAAGCGCACGUAGGCGGACUUUUAAGUCAGGGGUGAAAUCCCGGGGCUCAACCCCGGAACUGCCUUUGAUACUGGAAGUCUUGAGUAUGGUAGAGGUGAGUGGAAUUCCGAGUGUAGAAGUGAAAUUCGUAGAUAUUCGGGGGAACACCAGUGGCGAAGGCGGCUCACUGGACCAUUACUGACGCUGAGGUGCGAAAGCGUGGGGAGCAAACAGG
rnacentral:rRNA from 1 species